UGGAAACCUGUGCGUCUCCUCUGAUGCGCGUUCAGCUCCUCCUCUCAGCUCAUGCACGCCAACUUCCAGGCCUUUCACCACUGCCAAUCAAAUCUCUCGCUCGACGCUGGUCACACGCACGCCCAGCCGAGCUCCUGCUUCCCUCUCCCGCGGUGCCUGGCUUCCUCCAAGCUCGCCCCCAACCACAACCACGCCCUGGUCCGCGCUCCAGCCCUCCCCAUCCUCCUCUUGCUAUGGUGCCCAGCCGAGCUCUCUCCCCUUCCUGCCAUGGCCGACGCCCCUCCCUGCUGUAGCUCGAUGCCCUCUCCUGCAGCAAGCAGUGCCCUCCCCUUUCUGCAGCAAGUGGGUGCCCCCAGCCCCUCCUUUGUUCCCAUGGCCGGCCACCUCUGCUGCUUCCAUGGUGAUCUCUAAAUCCCUUUGUUGUUUUACUAGUUCUUGUUAAUACCCUGCUGAUGUGAGGUUUUAUGUGUGUUGAUGUGUGCGAUAUGGAGUAAAAUCCUUGGAGAAUUAGGUGGAGAAGAAGGUUAAGUUCAACACUCCUUAGGUGUUCGAUGAUAUGCUCGAACUGGUGGCCGUCUUCGUUCUUGCUGAAAUCGAGUCGGAGCAUGAUGUGGUUCGUUACACGUGAUGCGAAGGACAAGAGCCGAGUUGAUCCCAAAAUGAUGCUAGUGAACGAACCUAAGGAUGGAUGAUCUGAUAGAGUGCCAGAAUGGGAGAUGCUCACCAAGUGGUCGUCAAUUAACAACACUAACUUAGUGUUAUCCCAGGUUAUAAUUUUGUUCUGUUAUGGAUGCUGCUAAGUGCCGGUAGGCUCGGCCUUCUUAUAUAAGUAUAUCCCAUCUUUAGCUUCUUUAUUGAGGAUUGUCACUUAAGCUAGCAUGUAUUUGAAAACCUAUAAAUAUUUUAUACAUUUUAAAUUGUAAUUUUUUUGAAUCACUUUCUUUUGUAAUCACUCCGAUGAUAUAUAUUGUAAUCUUGUUAUAACUUGUAAAUGUUGUAACUUGUAACCAUUUUGUAAUAAAGAAUUUCCGCUGCAAAAAAAAAAAAAAAA
rnacentral:lncRNA from 1 species